CGGAUGGGUGAGUAACACGUGGGCAAUCUGCCCUAAAGACUGGGAUACCACUUGGAAACAGGUGCUAAUACCGGAUAACAACAUGAAUCGCAUGAUUCAAGUUUGAAAGGCGGCGCAAGCUGUCACUUUAGGAUGAGCCCGCGGCGCAUUAGCUAGUUGGUGGGGUAAAGGCCUACCAAGGCAAUGAUGCGUAGCCGAGUUGAGAGACUGAUCGG
rnacentral:rRNA from 1 species